AACGAACGCUGGCGGUAUGCUUAAUACAUGCAAGUCGAACGAGAAAGUUUCUUCGGAAAUGAUUAAAGUGGCGCACGGGUGAGUAACACGUAGGUGACCUACCUUGUAGUGUGGGAUAACAGUAAGAAAUUAUUGCUAAUACCACAUGAGUUGAGUGACUUUGGAAAGAACUCAAGAAAGAUGGCCUCUUUGCAAUGCUGUCGCUAUAAGAAGGGCCUGCGGCCCAUUAGCUUGUUGGUGGGGUAACGGCCUACCAAGGCAAUGAUGGGUAGCCGGUCUGAGAGGAUGAUCGGCCACACUGGAACUGAGACACGGUCCAG
rnacentral:rRNA from 1 species